AACGGGGGGAACUAGCGUUAUUCGUCGUCACUGGGUGUAAAGGGUAUGUAGGUGGUAAUUCAAGCACAUAGUAAAAAAGUAGAAGUUCAAAUUCUAAUUUGCUUUGUUGGACUAAAUUACUAGAGUUUGGGAGAGGGUUGAGGUAUUUUUGAAGUAACAGUGACAUGUUAACAUUUCAGCAAAGACCACCAAUAAGCGAAGGCGUCAACCUGGACCAUUCUGACACUGAGGUACUAAAGCAUGUGGGAGCAAACGGG
rnacentral:rRNA from 1 species